rnacentral:rRNA from 1 species
GACGAACCGUGCGAACGUUGUUCGGAAUCACUGGGCUUAAAGGGCGCGUAGGCGGGCCUCCAAGUCCGGGGUGAAAUCCUCCAGCCUAACUGGAGAAGAGCCUCGGAGACUGGGGGCCUCGAGGGAGGUAGGGGCAAGCGGAACUAUGGGUGGAGCGGUGAAAUGCAUUGAUAUCCAUAGGAACUCCGGUGGCGAAGGCGGCUUGCUGGACCUCUUCUGACGCUGAGGCGCGAAAGCCAGGGGAGCAAACGGG